rnacentral:lncRNA from 1 species
AAGAAUGAUCUGGCCACACUGGCCUCCUUUCCCCUGACUUUGGUGAACCCUUUCCAGCCUCUGGAGCUUUGCAAAUGCGUUUCCUCUACCUGGAAGGCUUUCCCAAUCCAGCUCCACAGUGUAGUUGUCUUUUUCUUAUACUCUCGGCUUCAGCUUAGAUGUUACAUCCUCAGAGAGCACUUCCUUAGUGGUUCUCUGUCUGUCCGUUUGUACCAAGUUUAUUCCCUUAGCAGAAUUUACCACAAUGUGGCAUUUUUUUUUUUGGUUGUCUGUGUGUUUAUUUCCUGCCUCCUCCUUUGGAAUAUCAUCUCUGUGAGGGUAGGAUCCAGCAUGUUUGCUUUAGUGAUGUGUCCCCAGCUCCUAGAUCAUAAUGCCUGGCACUUCCAGAGAAUCAGACCAAACCAAGGUUUCAGCAGUGCUGUGUUCUUUCUGAAGAUCCGGGGAGAGAAUUUGUUCCUUGCCUUUUCCAGCUUCCAGAGGAUGCCUGCAUUACUUGGCUCAUGGCCCUUCCUUCGUCCUCAAACAUCACUCCUACCUCUGCUUCUGUUGCGACUUUUUUUUUCCUGAUCUUGACCCUUUUGAUUACAUUGGACUCACUUGGAUAUGAGGAUAAUCUCCUCAUUUAAGAGUGUUAACCUAAUCUUAUCUACAGAGUCCCCUUUUCCAUGUAAGGUCACAUAUUCACAGAUUCUGGGGAUUAGGGUGUGAGUACAUUUUGGGGGACAUUAUUCUGUUUAUGCAACCUUUAAUUUGUAAUACUAUCAAUAUACAAAGUUCUGAGAGUGUCUCCAAUGGUACUCAACCUCCCAGCAGUAAGGGUAGAUGUUAAAUAAAGUGAGAAGUUCUUCUUCAAAAGUUUAGCUCGUUUAAGUUUCCUUGUUCUUUGUUCCCUGCUUUCAAGGCCAGACUUCCUUGCUCUCCGUGUCUCCCUGCCGUAGUCUCAAGGAGCAACUUUUCUGCCAGUCCUUAUCCAUAAAGCCCACAUUCCACUCUGCAAAUUACCACUCCUGCCACAACAGGUCCUUCUGCCAAAACUGUCCUUCCCGCCAGUAUAACCCCCUCCCUGCACCCUUCAAAUUGGCCAACCAAGACCAGUUUAAAUUGUGCAGUCUAGUUCCAGCCAAUGGAGACAGGACACAGUAGUAGAAACCCAUUACAUUAAGAAUAAAAAUCUCUGUUUUCCUUUGUAGUGCUCUUGCCAAUGCUCCAUCCAUGAGAUGCACCCU